rnacentral:rRNA from 1 species
UACGAAGGGGGCUAGCGUUACUCGGAUUGACUGGGCGUAAAGGGCGCGUAGGCGGCAGAUCAAGUCCGGGGUGAAAGCCCCCAGCUCAACUGGGGAAGUGCCUUGGAUACUGGUUUGCUCGAGGGAGGUAGGGGUCGCGGGAACUUCCGGUGGAGCGGUGAAAUGCGUUGAUAUCGGAAGGAACGCCGGUGGCGAAAGCGCGCGACUGGACCUCUUCUGACGCUGAGGCGCGAAAGCCAGGGGAGCGAACGGG